GUUCUUAUAGUUGAAUUACAACGACGAUUUUUCAUGUCGUAGGUCUUGGGUUGAGCCAUGUAAGAAUUA
rnacentral:tRNA from 2 species